rnacentral:lncRNA from 1 species
GCUCUACCUCUGAGCCACAACCCCAGACCCCAGUCUUUUAUUUUUUAACAUUUUUUAAAAAUUCAGUUAGUUAGUUAGUUAGUUAGUUAGUUGUAGAUGAGCACAAGACCUUUGCUUUAUUUAUGCAUUUAUUUUUUAUGUGGUGCUGAGGAUUGAACUCAGUGCCUCACGCGUGCCAGACAAGCACGCUAUCCCUGAGCCACAACCCCAGCCCUUAACAUUUCUGUUGUACAAAAUUUCAAACAAAAGUAGAGAGAACAGGAUAGUGAGUCUUCAUGUGCCCUAAACCAUGAAGUUGGAGUAGUGUGUUCAACAGUGAAAUGUAGUUAAAAGAUCAUAAGGCAACAAAACUUGACUUUGACUUGGUUACUCUUUUUUUUUUUUUUUUUUUUUAAGCUUUAGCACUAUUACUUUUUCACAUUUCUCAACAGGGUUGAAGAAAAAAACUAGCUAUGCCUAGCAGACCAGAAUUUGUCUGGCUUAGCCUCCUGGCCAAUCUGAAAUUCUUCUCUGAACUGAUAAAUGCCAAAAUGUGACUGCAUACAAACAAAUUUUUUUUUCUUUUAAAAAUUCAGUAUUGGGCUGGGUUGUGGCUCAGAGGUAGAGUGCUUGCCUAGCAUACCUGAGGCACUGGGUCCGAUCCUCAGCACCACAUAAAAAUA